UCCCUGGUAACUCAGAUGGUAAAGUAUCUGCCUGCAAUGCAGGAGACCUGGGUUCAAUCCCUGGUUUUGGAA
rnacentral:tRNA from 1 species